rnacentral:rRNA from 1 species
GACGAACGCUGGCGGCGUGCUUAACACAUGCAAGUCGAGCGGACAGGCCAUGAUUUUGUUGGGUGCUCGAGUGGCGAACAGGUGAGUAACACGUGAGUAACCUGCCCUUGACUUUGGGAUAACUUCAGGAAACUGGGGCUCAUACCGGGUAGGAUAUCCUGCUGCAUGGUGGGGAUUGGAAAGUUUCGGCGGUUGUGGAUGGUAUGGCGGGUUAUGCGCUUGAUGGUCGGGUAGGGGCGUACGAAGGGUUUGACGGGUAGCCGGCCUGGGAGGGUGACCGGCGACAUUGGUACUGAGAGACGGACCAGACUCCUACGGGAGGCAGUAGUGGGGAAUAUGGCACAAUGGGCGGAAGCCUGAUGCAGCAACGCCGCGUGCGGGAUGACGGCUUUCUGGUUGUAAACCGCUUUCGCCGGUGACGAAGCGUGAGUGACGGUAAUGGGUAAAGAAGCACCGGCUAACUACGUG